rnacentral:rRNA from 1 species
CACGUAGGGUGCGAGCGUUGUCCGGAAUUACUGGGCGUAAAGAGCUCGUAGGUGGUUUGUCACGUCGUCUGUGAAAUUCCGGGGCUUAACCUCGGGCGUGCAGGCGAUACGGGCAAUACUUGAGUGCUGUAGGGGAGACUGGAAUUCCUGGUGUAACGGUGAAAUGCGCAGAUAUCAGGAGGAACACCAAUGGCGAAGGCAGGUCUCUGGGCAGUUACUGACGCUGAGGAGCGAAAGCAUGGGUAGCGAACAGGAUUAGAUA